UACGUAGGUGGCAAGCGUUAUCCGGAAUUAUUGGGCGUAAAGAGCUCGUAGGCGGUUUGUCGCGUCUGCCGUGAAAGUCCGGGGCUCAACUCCGGAUCUGCGGUGGGUACGGGCAGACUAGAGUGAUGUAGGGGGAGACUGGAAUUCCUGGUGUAGCGGUGAAAUGCGCAGAUAUCAGGAGGAACACCGAUGGCGAAGGCAGGUCUCUGGGCAUUAACUGACGCUGAGGAGCGAAAGCAUGGGGAGCGAACAGG
rnacentral:rRNA from 1 species